GACAGAGGAGCCAAGCGUUGUCCGGAUUGACUGGGCGUAAAGCGCACGCAGGUGGUGGGGCAAGUGCCGUGUGAAAGCCGGUGGCUUAACUGCCGGAGGCCACAGCAGACUGCCUGACUUGAGCCCGAGAGAGGUCCGUGGAAUUGCCGGUGUAGUGGUGAAAUGCGUAGAGAUCGGCAGGAACACCAGUGGCGAAGGCGGCUCGCUGGGCAGUGGCUGACGCUGAGGCGCGACAGCGUGGGGAGCAAACAGG
rnacentral:rRNA from 1 species